rnacentral:rRNA from 1 species
AUGUAUGAACAUGAAUGUAUACGAUUUGGUGAUGAGAGUGAAGAAUCUAGCAAUAGGGGGAACUUUCUUGAACUUCUUAAAUGGUUUUCGGAAAAUGAUGAAGAAGUUAAUAAACUUGUUUUGAACAAUGCUCCUGGGAAUUGCAUCUUGACUAGUCCAAAGAUACAAAAUCAAAUAAUUGAAUGUUGUGCGAAGCAAACAACUAAAAGAAUUAUUGAACAUAUUGGUGACGAUCACCAUGCAAUCCUAGCUGAUGAGUCUAGUGAUGCAUCUCAUAAAGAGCAACUUGCUCUCUGCAUACGAUUUAUUGACAAAUCAGGAAGAGGAUGUGAGAGGUUCCUUGGAGUUGUUCAUGUUGCCAAUACAACUUCUGUCACUUAA